GGGCGCUUAGCUCAGUGGCAGAGCGACUCGUUUACACCGAGUAGGCCGUAGGUUCGAAUCCUUCAGCGCCCA
rnacentral:tRNA from 1 species